rnacentral:rRNA from 1 species
UACGUAGGGGGCAAGCGUUGUUCGGAAUUACUGGGCGUAAAGGGCGCGUAGGCGGCACAGCAAGUCGGGAGUGAAAGCCCGGGGCUCAACCCCGGAAUGGCUUUCGAAUCUGCUGAGCUAGAGUACAGAAGGGGCAACCGGAAUUCCCAGUGUAGCGGUGAAAUGCGUAGAUAUUGGGAAGAACACCUGAGGCGAAGGCGGGUUGCUGGGCUGAUACUGACGCUGAGGAGCGAAAGCGUGGGGAGCGAACAGG